GAAGCUGACCAGACAGUCGCCGCUUCGUCGUCGUCCUCUUCGGGGAGACGGGCGGAGGGGAGGAAAGUCCGGGCUCCAUAGGGCAGGGUGCCAGGUAACGCCUGGGGGAAACCCACGACCAGUGCAACAGAGAGCAAACCGCCGAUGGCCCGCGCAAGCGGGAUCAGGUAAGGGUGAAAGGGUGCGGUAAGAGCGCACCGCGCGGCUGGUAACAGCCCGUGGCACGGUAAACUCCACCCGGAGCAAGGCCAAAUAGGGGUUCAUAAGGUACGGCCCGUACUGAACCCGGGUAGGCUGCUUGAGCCAGUGAGCGAUUGCUGGCCUAGAUGAAUGACUGUCCACGACAGAACCCGGCUUAUCGGUCAGUUUCACCU
rnacentral:RNase_P_RNA from 1 species